CCUACGGGUGGCAGCAGUGGGGCAUAUUGGGCAAUGGAGGCAACUCUUACCCAGCAAUGCCGCGUGAAUGAAGAAGGUCUUCGGAUUGUAAAGUUCUUUAAUUAGGGACGAAAAAAAUGAUGGUAGCCAAGGAAUAAGCGCCGGCUAACUACGUGCCAGCAGCCGCGGUAAUCCGUAGGGGGCAUGCGUUGUGAGGAAUGACUGGGCGUAAAGGGUGUGUAGGCGGUGUAGCAAGUUAGAAGUGGAAUGCCUAGAGCUUAACUCAGGUGCUGCUUCUAAAACUGGUAUACUUGAGUGCAGUAGAGGAAAGUGGAAUUCCUAGUGUAGCGGUGGAAUGCGUAGAUAUUAGGAGGAACAUCAGUGGCGAAGGCGACUUUCUGGACUGUAACUGACGCUGAGGCACGAAAGUGUGGGGAGCAAACAGGAUUAGAUACCCCUGUAGUC
rnacentral:rRNA from 1 species